rnacentral:tRNA from 1 species
UCCGAUAUGGUGUAGUGGCCAACAUGAUGCCCUCUCACCGUCCGAGAGGUUAGGCAUAGCCCCGAGUUCGAUUCUCGGUUUCGGAA